rnacentral:rRNA from 1 species
ACGGGGGGGGCGAGCGUUGUUCGGAAUCAUUGGGCGUAAAGGGUGCGUAGGUGGUGCUGUAAGUCUGACGUGAAAUCUCUGGGCUUAACCCAGAAUCCGCGCCAGGAACUGCAGUGCUGGAGUGUGGGAGAGGAGAGUGGAAUUCCCGGUGUAGCGGUGAAAUGCGUAGAUAUCGGGAGGAACAUCCGUGGCGAAGGCGGCUACCUGGACCAGCACUGACACUGAGGCACGAAAGCGUGGGGAGCAAACAGGA